rnacentral:tRNA from 1 species
UUUCUGGUAGCUCAAUUAGGUUAGAGCAAUUAGCUGUUAACUAAUAAGUUAUAGGUUCAAGUCCUAUCCAGAAAG